CUAGCCCUUGGCAACCACUCUACUUUCUGUCUUUAUGAAUUUGACUACUUUAGGAACCUCAUAUAGGAGGAAUCAUACAAUAUUUGUCUUUUUGUGACCGACUUAUUUCACUUAGCAUAAUAUCUUCAAGGUUCAUCUGUGGUGUACGUCGGGUCAGAAUUUCCUUCCUUCAUGAAGGCUGAGCGAUGCUUCAUUGCAUGUAUAGACCACAUUUUGCUUAUCUAUUCAACUGUCUAUAGAUAUGGUUUUGCUCCAUCACCCAGGCUGGAAUGCAGGAAUGGAAACAUGGCUCACUGCAGCCUCAACCUCCUGGGCUCAACUGAUCCUCUCGCCUUAGCCUCCUGGGUAGCUGGGACCACAGGU
rnacentral:lncRNA from 10 species